rnacentral:lncRNA from 1 species
GCCGUAAUGAGGGAACACAGGAAGGCACUGCAGCCCGCAAGUCCGAACACACAGGUACGGAAGAUUCGGUUUGACAUAGGUGAUCACAGAGAUGUCAGUUAUCACUAAAUCUCAAGAUAAG